rnacentral:rRNA from 1 species
CAAUAGCGUAUAUUAAAGUUGUUGCAGUUAAAAAGCUCGUAGUUGGAUUUCUGGUAGGAGCGACCGUUCCGUACUUGAUUGUUCGUGUAUUGAGUUGUCUCCAGCCAUCCUUGUGGAGAACUUUUCUUGCAUUAAUUUGUAGGGAUUGGGACCCGCAUCGUUUACUGUGAAGAAAUUAGAGUGUUUAAAGCAGGCAAUCGCUUGAAUACAUUAGCAUGGAAUAAUAAGAUAGGACUUUGGUACUAUUUUGUUGGUUUGCAUACCAAAUUAAUGAUCAACAGGAACAGUUUGAGGAUAUUCGUAUGAACAUGUCAGAGGUGAAAUUCUUGGAUUUUGAUCAGACGAACUACUGCGAAAGCAUUUAUCAAGGAUGUUUNCAUUAG